GACUUUCUCAUGCUCUCUUCCCACAAGCCAACAGUUCCAAAGCCGUGAGAUUUCUGCUUCUGCCAACCUAGAGCUGAACGGUGCACCAUCUCAGUGACAGCUUCCUUGCAGGAUGACCUACUUUGACCAAUGACUUUCAGGAUUGUCCUCCUCCAAGCCAACUGCCACAUGUGAACGCUAGCCUGCUGGAAAGGGCACACAGAGAAUAGUGGUGUCAUGAGUGAUAGCCCCAACCAGUGACCAGUUGAGUGAUGGAAGCCACCUUCCACAGGCAAGCCAAUGAACCAAAAAUUUGAUUCUGCUCCUAGAAUUGCCAGGAACACGUCACCUCCUUAGCAGGUGCUCGGAACAUAUUUGGAAGAUGAGUCCCCUCGUAUCAGUGCACAUUCCUCAGCAAAAAGUCACAGGCUGCAAAACUUCAAAAAAAAAAAAAAAAAAAAAAAAAAAGCAGGAAAACGGUGUAUGUGCUUCAGAGAGCCACCCACUGUGCCAAGCACGGCGACGUAAGCCGUCUCAUUUGAACCUCCUCACAACAGGAUGGGAACUGCAUAAUCUGGGCACAGUGCCCCAUGCCUGUGCCCUAGCACUCAGCGAGUUGAGGAAGGAAGACCAGAAGGUACAGGGUCAUUCUCGGCCAUAUUUGCGGUUUGCGGCCAGCCUGGGAGACCCAGACUUGGGCUAGUGAAGAACUGUGGAUAUGAACUGCAGGAUUGCUGUAAGGAACAGCUGACACCCUGAACUCUGCACGGAGAACGCUGUAGUGAGAGAACUGUCGGGGAGAGAGGAACAUGGUACCAAAGUAGGAAUGGGUGAGGCUCUGUGUGCCCACAGGACAUGUCCUUUCAUGGGUUGUGGGUCAGGUUCAGCCACAGUGUGAUUGCUCAGCUGAUGUGUGUAUGCUAAAGGGCAGGGUCCAUGCAUUAGGAGUGGCUGGGCUGGGCUGGUGUGGUGUGCUGUGUUUCCCGUGGGGAUGGCGGUGAUUCAUUACCCUUCCCAGCCCGCUCAGCUUCUAUCAGGGUUCAACUUGUAGUAAACAAGUCAGAAAAUGCCAUCUGGGUGAGAAAGAGACGGGGGGGGGGGGGGGGGCCGGGGGGAGCUUCCGAGGUGACCCUCAGUGUCCUGUCAGCCCCAAAUCUUCCUGGAAACUACACACUGGAUCCACAGAGCUCAGAAUCUCUCUCACCAAUGGCAGAAAACCCUUCUUCACCCAAUUUCCGAUCUUUUUUUUUUUUCUGGAAUGUUCUAGAAACUCUACUCUCCUGGGAUGAUUCUGAGAUAUAACCACUCCAGCUUGCGCUGGGGGUGGGAGUGGGGGUGGGUGUUCUGCUGCCCAGAGGAUAUCUGUUGGGGUGCUUCUGGGAGGUGUGCAUCAAUAAAUCAACCUGUGCAUGCUAUUAAUCAACAGUUUCCCUGAAGUCUGGCCAGCGAAAUUCAGGCUUGUUGUCUAAGUGAGUAGGUCUGACGUUCUUGGAGCAGAGAACACAGGAGACACAGUUCAGCCCGCAAGAUGAAUAAAACCACAAUCACAACAAGAGCACAACUAGAGGAACGAUUAAGUGUCAGAUUGUGAGAGUCUCCCUUGGUUCACCAGGGCUUUCAAAAGGACAGGUAAGACUAGCCAGUUUGCCCCAAAAAUAGGCCAAACGAGACUGGAAGGGCUUGAGCACUAGAAGUUCAAGGCUCUGACCCUGGGAGGCUGAGGUUAAGAUGGUUCUAGGACUGGUUCCCUCUGAGGCUGUGAGCAAGACUGUUUAACUCCUGUCUCGCUUCUGCUGGCGACUAGCAUUUGUUUGUGUCUGCUAGUCUCUACCGUUGAAACAACCACAUCUGCACAGACCCCGUUCCAAGCAAGGUUGCAUUCUGAGGUACAGAGGUCUAGGAGUUCAAUCCAUGAAUUAUGGAUGGCGACACAUAAUUUAACCCAUAGCAUAACCAGAAGCGGGUUCCACGUAUGGAUCAUGCACAGGAUCUUCUUUUGCCAGUCCACACAGAUCGCCAACGAGUCUUCCCGAAAACGACUUGCACUCCCCUGGCCCCGCCCUUCGAGGUGGUAGCCGGCCUCACCUUAUCUUACUUGCAACUCAGGUGUGACUGGCCCCACCCUGGGUGAGAGGUUACUGUGAGCAACCAACACUGGGAGAUCAUGGAGGAAUGGGGCCAAGAAGGGACCUCAGGAUAAAAAUAGCUCCAGCAGUAGGGGUAGGUGGCGUGUGACCAGAUGACCUUUGCCCUUUGAGACUUUGAAAGUCACCAGGUUGGGAUGACUCAGCUCUCCGCUCAUCACCUUGGGGAAGAGUGACCGUACAUGGGGGGGGGCGGGUCACUUCUCUUUUCCUUCCUCCCCUGGCAGCUCUUCAGGAGCUUCCAGAAGCCUGAAGAGGAUCCCAUGACGACACUGAUGUAAUCCUGUGUGCCCUGUAAAAGGGGGGUGGGUGGGUGGUGGUGGAUCAGAACUGAACUGUCUUUCAAAGCAAGCUUUGGACUGAGCGCUCUGGACCCAUUAAUGCAAGGUCUGACUCUUCCAGACUGAGAGACUGCUGAAGGAAGAAGCAGUGACCCACGGCUGAGUACAGUGGCCAGGGUUCCAGGGUACACAUCUGUCAAUUCACCCCUCUGGAGGCAUGGGCUGCUGGAAGUGAGUUCCGUGAGAAACUGUUUGGUAUAAUCCGUGAAUGCUGAGAGAACUGUAGGCUGUCUGUGGGGAAGAGGGAGCAGGUGUUGCCCUCUCGCCUGUGAAUCACUAGGGAGGUGAAAGAGUUCAUACAGCCAACCAGGAAGCAGUCACUCUGACAAGCCAAGCGAAGAGAUGUUUGGCCACCUGCAUCUGACUUCUAGAUCGGCUUCUGUUCUUGGGACCAGCAAUGCUUGAAUGAAAAGCUCUGCUGAUUGCCUGCUGCAGAGAAGCCUGGACCCACAGGGCACCGGGCAUGAAGGAAAGCAAGCGGUUCCGUGUUGAAGGCAAGGGUCUCUGUCCUGCAGCAGUGAACUUCCUGCCUUUGAACCCACUCACCACACUCCCUUUACGGAUCUCAGGGAAACCCCAGAGCCACGGUGCAACCCCGCCCCACCCACGCAGACCCGCUCCCUGGCCCAGGUACGCGCUUACUGGGACUUGAAGCAGCCCACGUGGGCUCUGGUUCUCACCCGCCGCUCUCAUCAGGCGGGGCUUCCCCAGAACAAAGGGUGCCAUCUGCUCAAGGACAAACCCAGACUUCAUUUCUGUUGGUAUCUUCUUUCACCAUCUUUCCUUCCUUAGGCUGUAUUUUAAAUAUUCUCAGUCAUCCUAUCAGACGGAAUGUGUUUCACUAAAAUGUCAACUUUGUACAGUAAAUGGGUGACCCAUAGAGGAAAAAGCCACCUACAGGAUGCAUGAACAGAUUUGCAAAUUGUAGACCUGAUAAAGGACCAAUAUCCGGGAUAUACAAAGAACUCCUACAAACCGCUGCCACCACCAUCAACAGUGACAGAAACCGGGGGGGGNNNNNNNNNNNNNNNNNNNNNNNNNNNNNNNNNNNNNNNNNNNNNNNNNNNNNNNNNNNNNNNNNNNNNNNNNNNNNNNNNNNNNNNNNNNNNNNNNNUACAGAGUGAGUUCUAGGAUAGCCAGGGCUGUACAGAGAAACCCUGUCUCGAAAAACAACAACAAAAUACAAAACAAAACAAAACAAAACAAAACAGAAACUACUUCCCACCUAUCAGAGCAGCUACCAUGUAAAAACCAUUACUAGUGCUAGUAGGAUGCCCUGGACACUGUUGGUGGGAAACAAACAUGACUAACUCUGUAGAAUACACUCUUUAAAGAAAUGAAGGAAGGGAAAGGAAAGGGGAAGAGGAAAAGGAAGAAAUAGAAUUAUUGUAUGGCCCAGUAAUUCUGUUUCCAGGUAUGAACGCAAAAGAGUAUUUUAAAGGUCAUGGAGGCUGACAAGAUGGAGGAAGGGCAGGUUUAGCUGUACCUUCUGGGUCACCUGGCAGCCAUUGGUAGCUGUGUGGAAGGUGGUGGUCAUGUACUUGGAGGGCAACAAUAUUUUUGGCACUCAUCCUUCUCGAGCUGUAUUCGCCUUGGCUGGAAAACAACCAUUCCUACUUUCCACAACCCCGCCCAAGACGAGAGAGGAAGCCUGAGACCUGGAGGGAGGGUAAAGGCACAGAAGGUCUCCUUAGGUAACAUGCCAGAAUGUUCCAGAAUACAGACUUUUGUGCUCAGACUCCACUUCAUAGCAAAGUCCCCUUAACCCCACCAUGGGCCUGCCUCCACACAGAGGUAAGUUGGAAACAUGGGUGCUUAGAAAGGCCUUAGAAGAAAACACAAAGACGCUGUCCAAAGCUGAGUGCCCAAGGCCGGGUGUCCAAGGCUGGGUGCCCAAGGCUGUGUGGCCAAGGCUGGGUGCCCAAGGCCAGGUGUCCAAGCCUGGGUGUCUAAGCCUAUGUGUUCAAGGCUGGGUUGGGCAGCCUGGGUGUCCAAGGCUGGGUGUCCAAGACCAGGUGUCCAAGCCCGUGUGUCCAAGGCUGGGUGCCCAAUCACCCAGGCACUUGCCAGGCACCAUCGUAGGCGCACCGGGCCCAAGAGGAGAGGAUGUGGGUUUGAAUAAGACCCAGACUUGGCCCACGUUUGUCGAAAGUGUAACUGUGAACUCAGACAUCUAAAGAUGGAUCACAGAACAGUGACGCAGUUAGUGUAUGUGUGCCGAAAACUGAACAGAAGCAAAAACAAAGAGGACAAAACAAGAAACCCCUGAACUUAGAAGUGGCUGGAAUUCAAAUAUGCAUUUCCCCCGGAGGUGUAGGUGUGUAUGUGAAGUCUGUAUGCAAAAAGAGGCAGACACCGUUACUCUGCAGGGAGAUGCAAAUCCAAACCACAGUGAGAUGCCACCUCACACCCAGCCUACCUCGCUAAGGGAAAGGACAGAUCCUGACAAGUGUUCAAAGAGGUGAGACAUUGGAAUUCUCACAGCUGGCAGACAUAACAAAGCAGCUCUGUUAAACAGUUACUUUUCUCAAAGUUUAAAAGAUAGGAAAUUAAAGUUACAUAUGAGCCAGGGUUCUGAAAGAAACAAUGUCUAAGACUUUAAAUUCAGAAUUCUUUGUUCUUUCUGGACAGGAAAAAAAAAAAGAAAUAAAAUUGCUCAAUUUAUAC
ensembl:lincRNA Mirt1 myocardial infarction associated transcript 1